GUCGAACGGUAGAGGGGGCAACCCCUCGAGAGUGGCGAACGGGUGAGUAAUAUAUCGGAACGUGCCCAGUCGUGGGGGAUAACGUAGCGAAAGUUACGCUAAUACCGCAUACGAUCUACGGAUGAAAGCGGGGGAUCGCAAGACCUCGCGCGAUUGGAGCGGCCGAUAUCAGAUUAGGUAGUUGGUGAGGUAAAGGCUCACCAAGCCAACGAUCUGUAGCUGGUCUGAGAGGACGACCAGCCACACUGGAACUGAGACACGGUCCAGACUCCUACGGGAGGCAGCAGUGGGGAAUUUUGGACAAUGGACGCAAGUCUGAUCCAGCCAUUCCGCGUGCAGGAUGAAGGCCCUCGGGUUGUAAACUGCUUUUGUACGGAACGAAAAGGUCUCUCUUAAUACGGGGGGCUCAUGACGGUACCGUAAGAAUAAGCACCGGCUAACUACGUGCCAGCAGCCGCGGUAAUACGUAGGGUGCAAGCGUUAAUCGGAAUUACUGGGCGUAAAGCGUGCGCAGGCGGUUAUAUAAGACAGAUGUGAAAUCCCCGGGCUCAACCUGGGAACUGCAUUUGUGACUGUAUAGCUAGAGUACGGUAGAGGGGGAUGGAAUUCCGCGUGUAGCAGUGAAAUGCGUAGAUAUGCGGAGGAACACCGAUGGCGAAGGCAAUCCCCUGGACCUGUACUGACGCUCAUGCACGAAAGCGUGGGGAGCAAACAGGAUUAGAUACCUUGGUAGUCCACGCCCUAAACGAU
rnacentral:rRNA from 1 species